UACAGAGGUCUCAAGCGUUGUUCGGAUUUACUGGGCGUAAAGGGUGCGUAGGCUGUAUUUUAAGUCUGAUGUGAAAGUUUGUAGCUCAACUACAAAAGCGCAUUGGAAACUAAAGUGCUAGAGGACUGGAGGGGAAGCUGGAAUUCUCGGUGUAGCAGUGAAAUGCGUAGAUAUCGAGAGGAACACCAGUGGCGAAGGCGGGCUUCUAGACAGUUCCUGACGCUGAAGCACGAAAGCUAGGGGAGCAAACAGG
rnacentral:rRNA from 1 species